AUGGCGAGCGCCUCGUACCACAUUUCCAAUUUGCUGGAAAAAAUGACAUCCAGCGACAAGGACUUUAGUUCCUCUUGUCAGGUAAAACCAACUUAGGAACUCGGGGUUUCAGUCUCAUGUCCUCAUAUCCAAAAUCACUGCCAAAGGGGUGGAUUGCUGGAUCUUAAUCAUAGCAGACGGAUCUUCAAAAGGAAGAGAUGUUUAAUACGGACCUGGUGAAUAUGAAGCUUUAUUACAGCAGUUCUGUUCAGGAGAUCGGUACUGUUGGUUCCAAAGUGUUGUAAUAUGCAUAGUGAAGAUUUGUUAUAUUUUUACAGGUUAUCUUUGUUUUUAUUUUUCCUUGCACGCUUCGGUGAUUGUUGCAUUCUUUCCCGCCUCCCAUCUCUUCACAAAUAAGUUCUCAAUCUAAAAAAAAAAAAAAAAAGAAAAAAAA
rnacentral:lncRNA from 10 species